CCUACGGGAGGCAGCAGUAGGGAAUAUUGCUCAAUGGGGGAAACCCUGAACCAGCAACGCCGCGUGGAGGAUGAAGGGUUUAGGAGUGUAAACUCCUUUUGUUAGAGAAGAUAAUGACGGUAUCUAAGGAAUAAGUACCGGCUAAAUAAGUGACAGCAGCCGAGGUACUACGGAGGGGUCAAGCGUUACUCGGAAUCACUGGGCGUAAAGAGCGCGUAGGCGGGAUAGCAAGUCAGAUGUGAAAUCCUAUGGCUUAACCAUAGAACUGCAUUUGAAACUGUUAUUCUAGAGUAUGCGAGAGGUAGGUGGAAUUCGUGGUGUAGGGGUAAAAUCCGUAGAGAUCACGAGGAAUACUCAUUGCGAAGGCGACCUGCUAGAACAUAACUGACGCUGAUGCGCGAAAGCGUGGGGAGCAAACAGGAUUAGAUACCCCAGUAGUC
rnacentral:rRNA from 1 species